rnacentral:rRNA from 1 species
UAGCUAGUUGGUAAGGUAACGGCUUACCAAGGCGACGAUCAGUAGCCGGACUGAGAGGUUGAUCGGCCACAUUGGGACUGAGACACGGCCCAGACUCCUACGGGAGGCAGCAGUGGGGAAUAUUGCACAAUGGAGGAAACUCUGAUGCAGCGAUGCCGCGUGAGGGAAGAAGGUUUUAGGAUUGUAAACCUCUGUCUUCAGGGACGAAAAAAGACGGUACCUGAGGAGGAAGCUCCGGCUAACUACGUGCCAGCAGCCGCGGUAAUACGUAGGGAGCGAGCGUUGUCCGGAAUUACUGGGUGUAAAGGGAGCGUAGGCGGGAUCGCAAGUCAGAUGUGAAAACUAUGGGCUUAACCCAUAAACUGCAUUUGAAACUGUGGUUCUUGAGUGAAGUAGAGGUAAGCGGAAUUCCUAGUGUAGCGGUGAAAUGCGUAGAUAUUAGGAGGAACAUCAGUGGCGAAGGCGGCUUACUGGGCUUUAACUGACGCUGAGGCUCGAAAGCGUGGGGAGCAAACAGGAUUAGAUACCCUGGUAGUCCACGCCGUAAACGAUGAUUACUAGGUGUGGGGGGACUGACCCCUUCCGUGCCGCAGCAAACGCAAUAAGUAAUCCACCUGGGGAGUACGACCGCAAGGUUGAAACUCAAAGGAAUUGACGGGGGCCCGCACAAGCAGUGGAGUAUGUGGAUUAAUUCGAAGCAACGCGAAGAACCUUACCAGGUCUUGACAUCGUAUGCAUAGCUCAGAGAUGAGUGAAAUCUCUUCGGAGACAUAUAGACAGGUGGUGCAUGGUUGUCGUCAGCUCGUGUCGUGAGAUGUUGGGUUAAGUCCCGCAACGAGCGCAACCCUUACUGUUAGUUGCUGCGCAAGAGCACUCUAGCAGGACUGCCGUUGACAAAACGGAGGAAGGUGGGGAUGACGUCAAAUCAUCAUGCCCCUUAUGACCUGGGCCUCACACGUACUACAAUGGCUGUCAACAGAGGGAAGCAAAGCCGCGAGGUGGAGCGAACCCCUAAAAGCAGUCUUAGUUCGGAUUGUAGGCUGCAACCCGCCUACAUGAAGUCGGAAUUGCUAGUAAUCGCAGAUCAGCAUGCUGCGGUGAAUACGUUCCCGGGCCUUGUACACACCGCCCGUCACGCCAUGGGAGUCGGUAACACCCGAAGCCUGUAGUCUAACCGCAAGGAGGACGCAGUCGAAGGUGGGAUUGAUGACUGGGGUGAAGUCGUAACAAGGUAACCGUACUAGUACGG